GACGAACGCUGGCGGCGUGCUUAACACAUGCAAGUCGAACGGAAAGGCCCUGCUUUUGUGGGGUGCUCGAGUGGCGAACGGGUGAGUAACACGUGAGUAACCUGCCCUUGACUUUGGGAUAACUUCAGGAAACUGGGGCUAAUACCGGAUAGGAGCUCCUGCUGCAUGGUGGGGGUUGGAAAGUUUCGGCGGUUGGGGAUGGACUCGCGGCUUAUCAGCUUGUUGGUGGGGUAGUGGCUUACCAAGGCUUUGACGGGUAGCCGGCAUGAGAGGGUGAACGGCCACAUUGGGACUGAGAUACGGCCCAGACUCCUACGGGAGGCAGCAGUGGGGAAUAUUGCACAAUGGGCGGAAGCCUGAUGCAGCAACGCCGCGUGCGGGAUGACGGCCUUCGGGUUGUAAACCGCUUUCGCCUGUGACGAAGCGUGAGUGACGGUAAUGGGUAAAGAAGCACCGGCUAACUACGUG
rnacentral:rRNA from 1 species